rnacentral:lncRNA from 1 species
CCAUGUUUCUCUCGACAGGAAACCUCUCAAAGUAGAAUCUCAAUUUUCUGUUGAAAAGUAAAAAUCCUAUGAUAUUUACGGACAUGACUGUAUAGUACAUGUAGUUACGAUAAACAGAAACUACAUGUAUGGUCAUCUCUACCAAAGGCCAUCAAGGUUAAUAUUGAUCCUUACGAUUUGGAAAUUAAUAAUCAAGUUUACCAAGCCAUAUCCUCUUAAACAGCAACC